rnacentral:misc_RNA from 1 species
GAGAAAAGAACUGGAGCGCUCUCUUUAGAGGCUCCGACCCUUCUCUUUCCACACACCCGUGCACUCGGGGGCGUCGGAGCCGGCUGACAAAGCCGCGCCGAGGCGCUUUCCCGCCAUUUCAAACUCCGAAAGUCGUCGAGGAUGUUGUGAUAAAAGAGAAACAAAACA